rnacentral:rRNA from 1 species
GAUGAACGCUGGCGGCGUGCCUAAUACAUGCAAGUCGAGCGAAGCGGGGACGGGUGAGUAACACGUGGAUAACCUCCUAUAAGACUGGGAUAACUUCGGGAAACCGGCACUCAACCGGCUACUUAUAGAUGGAUCCGCGCUGCAUUAGCUAGUUGGUAAGGUAACGGCUUACCAAGUCAACGAUGCAUAGCCGACCUGAGAGGGUGAUCGGUCACCAUGGAGAUGAGACACGGUCCAGCGUCCGACGGAAGGCAGCAGUAGGGAAUCUUCCGAAAUGGGCGAAAGCCUGACGGAGCAACGCCGCGUGAGUGAUGAAGGUUUUCGGAUCGUAAAACUCUGUUAUUAGGGAAGCGGUACCUAAUCAGAAAGCCACGGCGAACUACGUGCCAGCAGCCGCGGUAAUAC